rnacentral:rRNA from 1 species
AGCGGCGGACGGGUGAGUAACACGUGGGUAACCUGCCCAUAAGACUGGGAUAACUCCGGGAAACCGGGGCUAAUACCGGAUAACAUUUUGAACUGCAUGGUUCGAAAUUGAAAGGCGGCUUCGGCUGUCACUUAUGGAUGGACCCGCGUCGCAUUAGCUAGUUGGUGAGGUAACGGCUCACCAAGGCAACGAUGCGUAGCCGACCUGAGAGGGUGAUCGGCCACACUGGGACUGAGACACGGCCCAGACUCCUACGGGAGGCAGCAGUAGGGAAUCUUCCGCAAUGGACGAAAGUCUGACGGAGCAACGCCGCGUGAGUGAUGAAGGCUUUCGGGUCGUAAAACUCUGUUGUUAGGGAAGAACAAGUGCUAGUUGAAUAAGCUGGCACCUUGACGGUACCUAACCAGAAAGCCACGGCUAACUACGUGCCAGCAGCCGCGGUAAUACGUAGGUGGCAAGCGUUAUCCGGAAUUAUUGGGCGUAAAGCGCGCGCAGGUGGUUUCUUAAGUCUGAUGUGAAAGCCCACGGCUCAACCGUGGAGGGUCAUUGGAAACUGGGAGA